AGAGUUUGAUCCUGGCUCAGGACGAACGCUGGCGGCGUGCUUAACACAUGCAAGUCGAACGGAAAGGCCCUUCGGGGUACUCGAGUGGCGAACGGGUGAGUAACACGUGGGUGAUCUGCCCUGCACUUUGGGAUAAGCCUGGGAAACUGGGUCUAAUACCGAAUAUGACCAUGCACUUCCUGGUGUGUGGUGGAAAGCUUUUGCGGUGUGGGAUGGGCCCGCGGCCUAUCAGCUUGUUGGUGGGGUAAUGGCCUACCAAGGCGACGACGGGUAGCCGGCCUGAGAGGGUGACCGGCCACACUGGGACUGAGAUACGGCCCAGACUCCUACGGGAGGCAGCAGUGGGGAAUAUUGCACAAUGGGCGCAAGCCUGAUGCAGCGACGCCGCGUGAGGGAUGACGGCCUUCGGGUUGUAAACCUCUUUCAGCACAGACGAAGCGCAAGUGACGGUAUGUGCAGAAGAAGGACCGGCCAACUACGUGCCAGCAGCCGCGGUGAUACGUAGGGUCCGAGCGUUGUCCGGAAUUACUGGGCGUAAAGAGCUCGUAGGUGGUUUGUCGCGUUGUUCGUGAAAACUCACAGCUUAACUGUGGGCGUGCGGGCGAUACGGGCAGACUUGAGUACUGCAGGGGAGACUGGAAUUCCUGGUGUAGCGGUGGAAUGCGCAGAUAUCAGGAGGAACACCGGUGGCGAAGGCGGGUCUCUGGGCAGUAACUGACGCUGAGGAGCGAAAGCGUGGGGAGCGAACAGGAUUAGAUACCCUGGUAGUCC
rnacentral:rRNA from 1 species